UUACUAAGUGGACACAAAUCUUUCUCAAAGAGGCUAUUUUUUACACUUGUUGGAAUUCUUUGACUUAAAGUUCAGGAUUCUAAGAUACUCUUAAUAAAAAAAUACAUGGAACCCCUGUUAUAGUUUAAUCUUGUAUUUAGGUUUUGGAAGCAAUAGCUGUAGUACGCGCCAGAUAGCGUGGUCGUCAUCCUUUUUUUUUCUUCUGAUUGGUUGAUGGUUGUUGCCACCGUAAUAGGAGGUAUUCAAGUUUACAGGCCUUAACCAUUAAGUAGGCCUUGUAAGUUGUAACGUCAUAAGCGAACUGGAGAAGAAACAGAACUGCUGAAAUUUAAGCCGUCGUGAAACUUAUUGCCGUAAAUCACUUGAACUGGCCAAUUGUAGCAUUCUUUGAUCUUACUGGAUCAAUAACAAAGAGACUUCGAUGAUCGAGGGUUUAGCAAGAAUGGCUGCAAACCGUCUUCCAAAGCUCUUGAGUUUACCGA